rnacentral:rRNA from 1 species
UACGUAGGGGCCAAGCGUUGUCCGGAUUUAUUGGGCGUAAAGGGCGCGUAGGCGGCCAACUAAGUCAGACGUGAAAUCCCCAGGCUCAACCUGGGAACUGCGUCUGAUACUGGAUGGCUUGAAUCCGGGAGAGGGAUGCAGAAUUCCAGGUGUAGCGGUGAAAUGCGUAGAUAUCUGGAGGAAUACCGGUGGCGAAGGCGGCAUCCUGGACCGGCAUUGACGCUGAGGAGCGAAAGCCAGGGGAGCAAACGGG